rnacentral:rRNA from 1 species
UACGAAGGGGGCUAGCGUUGCUCGGAAUCACUGGGCGUAAAGGGUGCGUAGGCGGGUUUUUAAGUCAGGGGUGAAAUCCUGGAGCUCAACUCCAGAACUGCCUUUGAUACUGAAGAUCUUGAGUCCGGGAGAGGUGAGUGGAACUGCGAGUGUAGAGGUGAAAUUCGUAGAUAUUCGCAAGAACACCAGUGGCGAAGGCGACUCAGUGGCCCGGAACUGACGCUGAGGCACGAAAGCGUGGGGAGCAAACAGG